AGACACUGGGAUGGCUGCACCUUUACCCGUCCUCUCCAACUCUCUCCACCUAGAAAGUAUUCUUUUCUCUUAAUUUUGUUAGAGUUAUAUAGGAAUGCUCCUUCAGCAGAAAUGACAGAGGCUGUUGCUCUCAGAAUCAAAUGCAAUAAUGUGACCUGUAAAUUCCUGUGAAUAUUUGGAUAUUUUAGCGAUAUUUGUUUAUUCAGAAGAGAUUCUGGAUGCAGAACUCUCCUCCUCUCUGUUCUCUAACCCUGCUUUCCACCAUCAUUCUUCUCUCUCUAGGGCACAGAGAGAAUUAAGAACAACCUAAGGUAAAUUUUUAACAAGAUGGUCUAGCUUGAGCUCUGUAGGCUUGACUGAUGAAAUAAGUAGUAGUUUUUUGCUAAAAUAACCACAUUGUUUGCAAAAGUUUUCUCCUUUGAGUUUUCUAGGGUCAUUACAAUGAUCUAACUGCCUUACCUGCUUUUGAACUGGUUGAGCCUCUUGUGGGACCGAAAACAAAAGAAGGGUGUUGAAAUGCAAAUAGAUAACUCUGGGUCCCAGUCCCUGACUGCAAAAGGAAGCCAAAACUGACAACAACGUCUCCUUCUCUACGGAGGUUUGUAGAAAGGCUGUACAAAAAUCUCACAAGAUGUAUUUCUUCUCGUGGACUGGAGUCCCAAGGUGCUUAAGAGCUCUUCAAUUUGUUAAUGGAAAGAAACACCAUUUACACCGGAUGGCUACAAAGCAACCUUAUUCUGGAUCCAGUUGAAAAUCAGGCAUUGCAUCCAGUUAUCAUGGCUUUAAUCUUAAUGCCUUCCCUGCACUGUUUUGGGAAUAUCUUAAUACUGCUAUUUUUGAAGAGUCCAGCUCAGUUAUUCUGCAGAAUAGGGAGAUUUGAGACAGGAGAAGAGAAGACACGAAGGAGGGAAGGAAGUGAUGUGACCACAGAGGCAGCGAUUGGAGUGAUGUAGUCACAAGCCAAGGAGCACCAACAGCCACCAGGAGCUGGAAGAGCCCAAGAGUAUAUACUAAUACCUGGAUUUGGGACUUGGGACUUCUGGUCUCUAGAAGUAGGAAAGAAUAAACAUCUGUUUUUUGUU
rnacentral:lncRNA from 1 species